AUGGACAUGAGGGUCCCCGUUCAGCUCCUGGGGCUCCUUCUGCUCUGGCUCUCAGGUGCCAAAUGUGACAUCCAGAUGACCCAGUCUCCUUCCUCCCUGUCUGCAUCUGUGGGAGAAAAGUCACCAUCACUUGCCAGGCAAGUCAGAGUAUUAGCAGCUGGUUAACCUGGUAUCAGCAGAAACCAGGGAAAGCCCCUAAGCUCCUGAUCUAUAAGGCAUCCACUUUGCAAAGUGGGGUCCCAUCAAGGUUCAGCGGCAGUGGAUCUGGGACAGAAUUCACUCUCACCAUCAGCAGCCUGCAGCCUGAAGAUUUUGCAACUUAUUACUGUCAACAUUAUAAUGAUUUUCCCCCUUUGAGGCCAUUUAAAAAUUAUAUUUAA